AUUGAACGCUGGCGGCAGGCCUAACACAUGCAAGUCGAGCGGAGCGGCGGACGGGUGAGUAAUGCCUAGGAAUCUGCCUGGUAGUGGGGGAUAACGUCCGGAAACGGGCGCUAAUACCGCAUACUAGCAGAUGAGCCUAGGGCGGUUUAGCUAGGUGGUGGGGGAAAUGCCUACCAAGGCGACGGUCCGUAACUGGUCUGAGAGGAUGAUCAGUCACACUGGAACGGAGACACGGUCCAUACUCCUACGGGAGGCAGCAGUGGGGAAUAGUGGGCAAUGGGCGAGAGCAUGAUCCAGCCAGGCCGCGUGUGUUAAGAAGGUCUUCGGAGUGUAAUGCACUUUAAGUUGGUAGGCGUUACCAGCAGAAUAAGCACCGGCUAACUUCGUGCCAGCAGCCGCGGUAAUUC
rnacentral:rRNA from 1 species